AUGCUCACAUGCCCAUUCACUAGGCAGACAUGGCAUGAGGUCCUAUCUUGGCUACGUUUGCCAACGCCGACGCUCGAGCACGACGACUCGCUCAUGGACUGGUGGCUGCGUGCGAAGGAGACCACACCGCCAACGCUACACAAGGCGCUGAAAUCCGUGGCGCUUUUGGUGCCGUGGAUGCUUUGGAAGCAUAGGAACGCGUGCGUUUUUUACCAUGUUAGCCCAUCGCUCAAUGAGUUAGUUGACAGGAUCAAGGACGAGGCCCGAUGUUGGGCAAAGGCCGGGGCUCAAGGGCUCAGGGUCGUUUUGCCAUCAUCCUGGGAUGUCCACUGA
rnacentral:rRNA from 1 species